rnacentral:sRNA from 1 species
UAAGAAGCAAGAAUAAGCUUGGUUAGUUUUUUGGAGUCAAAUAUGACUAAAUGUCAUGUGUAUGAGUGAGUAUAAGAAGUAGAAGCGCAACUUGAUCUUAAAAGCCUAUGUAUUGUAUCCUUGUUGGAAGAUACAAUGACAAAGACUCAUACGGACUUCCGCUACACAAUUAAAGCUUCGAGAAUCAAGAAGAAGCUUGGUUAGUGUUUUGGAGUAGAAUAUGACUUUAUGUCAUGUGGAUGAUUGAGUAUAAGAACUUAAACUGCAACCGGAUCUUAAAAGCCUAAGUAGGGUUGCCUUGUUAGAAGAUACAAAGCCAAAGACUUAUACGGAGUUUAGCUACACCAUCAAAGCUUUGAGAAGCAAGAUGAAGCAUGGUUAGUGUUUUGGAGUCAAAUAUGACUUGAUGUCAUGUGUAUGAGUGAGUAUAACAACUAGAACCGCAAUCGGAUCUUAAAUGCCUAAGUAUUGUGUCCUUGUUAGAAGAUACAAAGACAAAGACUCAUCCGGACUUCGGCUACACCAUCAAAGCUUUGAGAAGCAAGAAGAAGCUUGGUUAGUGUUUUUUAGU